GAGUAACCUGCCCCAGACUCUGGGAUAACCCCGGGAAACCGGAGCUAAUACCGGAUACGACACCAGUCCGCAUGGGCAUGGUGUGGAAAGUUUUUCGGUCUGGGAUGGACUCGCGGCCUAUCAGCUUGUUGGUGAGGUAGUGGCUCACCAAGGCGACGACGGGUAGCCGGCCUGAGAGGGCGACCGGCCACACUGGGACUGAGACACGGCCCAGACUCCUACGGGAGGCAGCAGUGGGGAAUAUUGCACAAUGGGCGCAAGCCUGAUGCAGCGACGCCGCGUGAGGGAUGACGGCCUUCGGGUUGUAAACCUCUUUCAGCAGGGAAGAAGCGCAAGUGACGGUACCUGCAGAAGAAGCACCGGCUAACUACGUGCCAGCAGCCGCGGUAAUACGUAGGGUGCGAGCGUUGUCCGGAAUUAUUGGGCGUAAAGAGCUUGUAGGUGGUUUGUCGCGUCUGCUGUGAAAAUCCGGGGCUCAACCCCGGACUUGCAGUGGGUACGGGCAGACUAGAGUGUGGUAGGGGAGACUGGAAUUCCUGGU
rnacentral:rRNA from 1 species